rnacentral:ncRNA from 3 species
ACAACCCUAGGAGAGGGUGCCAUUCA